CGCAGCAACUGUGCAACAUGCUGCCUCAGAACCACUUUCAGAGAUAACCACGAAUCUACACUCAGGGACAAAUGAGGAAAAGCAACAAAACGAAAACCAGCGGUCCAUGAAGAGGAUUACGACAAGAUCUCGCAAGUGUCAAAGGAGAAACAAAUGCAUAUCGAGGAAAAUAGGGACAAACUUACGGCUAGCUUCAAAGAAAGCCAGGACUGGCAGCUGAUAAAACAGUGGAGUUCUGGCCAAGGCCUGGAAACCAUAUAGAACAACUGACGUUAUGGAAAGCGGUGAUCAGAAUGAAACAACCAAACAAGCUAACAACAAAGAUGUAGUGUCUGCAGAAACCUGCACUGACAUCAAAGAUAACCACUUGUAGACCGAUGCCAAUGAGGAAGUGUCGCAGGAAUCAGACAGCGAAUACGUGUUUUGGGCAGCCACUAGUACUGCCACCGAGCAUGACAGCGAAGUCUCCAAACCAUAAACAAGUCAAAGUACGAUGUUUUAUGCAGCAACCGAAAUAGACAGCAAAGGGGAGAACGACAUGUCCUGUCCAUCGGGAUCAGAAUGGAAUAUUGAUGACAAUAGUUGUUCUACCAAUGCGACAGAAUCAGACUGGACUGUUGAUAAGAAUCACUGUUCAGACACAGACACGGAGGAAAGUUAUGAAAAAGAAGACCCCGACAGUGAAACAGAACAACAAUCAGAGCAUGACGGCAUAGACGAUAACGAUAAAAUAGGUGAUACCAGGUGCCAACAAGCUAGACGACCCGCAACGAUUGUUUUGGACAAUAAUGUAAAUAGUCGGCACAUAGCGGAAUAAGCAAAGAUUUUUGUGACAAACACCGGGGACUAUAUAUUAUAAAACAUGCUACACCAGGCAUUCAAAGUCAGGAAGAGUAAACGACAUUGUCCACGCCUGCUUUUUUUGUUCGAAACUGAUGAAAAAUAUCCGAAAUCAUCUGGAAAAUGUAUACAGAUCCGCAAAUGAAUUUUAGUAAAUUAUAAAAGCUAAAGAAGAACAUAAACAAAUCACUGUUUCGGAAAGCAAAAAAAAUGACACAUUCGGUAUUAAAUAAACAGGCCUUGCUGAGGCAUAAAAGUGACCAUAAGCACAACAUGAAUGUGAUGAAAAGUAAAAAGAGAUGUUAAUUUCCAGAAGGAGAAGUGGUUCCUUUAAAUCAGAGGUAUAUGGCACAGGUGGUUAGCGUGUGGCUAUGCUAUUAAUUAGUGAAAACAUCAUUUUGAAUGAUAAAUAAUCAUAUAAUAACGAAAAAUUAACUUUUCUGAAAAAAUCACUAUCAAAUAUAUAUAUAACAAGGUAUGCAACUAAAAAUCACCCCAAAACGGGGUGCAUCGCUUUAAACAGCCAUUACUUCAGCAAUUUU